rnacentral:rRNA from 1 species
GAUGAACGCUGGCGGCGUGCUUAACACAUGCAAGUCGAACGAAGCACUUUAUUUGAUUUCCUUCGGGACUGAUUAUUUUGUGACUGAGUGGCGGACGGGUGAGUAACGCGUGGGUAACCUGCCUUGUACAGGGGGAUAACAGUUUGAAACGGCUGCUAAUACCGCAUAAGCGCACAGCAUCACAUGAUGCAUUGUGAAAAACUCCGAUGGUAUAAGAUGGACCCGCGUUGGAUUAGCUAGUUGGUGAGGUAACGGCCCACCAAGGCGACGAUCCAUAGCCGACCUGAGAGGGUGACCGGCCCCAUUGGGACUGAGACACGGCCCAAACUCCUAGGGGAGGCAGCAGUGGGGAAUAUUGCACAAUGGGCGAAAGCCUGAUGCAGCGACGCCGCGUGAGCGAAGAAGUAUUUCGGUAUGUAAAGCUCUAUCAGCAGGGAAGAUAAUGACGGUACCUGACUAAGAAGCAACGGCUAAAUACGUG